rnacentral:rRNA from 1 species
AUUGAACGCUGGCGGCAUGCCUUACACAUGCAAGUCGAACGGCAGCACGGGGCAACCUGGUGGCGAGUGGCGAACGGGUGAGUAAUGCAUCGGAACGUACCUUUCAGUGGGGGAUAACGUAGCGAAAGUUACGCUAAUACCGCAUAUUCUGUGAGCAGGAAAGCAGGGGAUCGCAAGACCUUGCGCUGAUUGAGCGGCCGAUGUCAGAUUAGCUAGUUGGUGAGGUAAAGGCUCACCAAGGCGACGAUCUGGAGCGGGUCUGAGAGGAUGGUCCGCCACACUGGAACUGAGACACGGUCCAGACUCCUACGGGAGGCAGCAGUGGGGAAUUUUGGACAAUGGGGGCAACCCUGAUCCAGCCAUGCCGCGUGAGUGAAGAAGGCCUUCGGGUUGUAAAGCUCUUUCGGCCGGGAAGAAAUCGCACGGGCUAAUACCCUGUGUGGAUGACGGUACCGGAAUAAGAAGCACCGGCUAACUACGUGCCAGCAGCCGCCGUAAAAC